rnacentral:ncRNA from 1 species
CCUUCGCGGCGUGUUUCAGGUGCCCCGUGGAGCGAUUUCCAGGCGGGGUGAAACUGGGAAGCCGGUGGUCGCCUUGCAGGCGCGAGUCCGGCGCUGCCCCCGCAACGGUAGGUGAGUCAAGCCACGCGCAGCGCCACUGGGUCGAUCCUGGGAAGGCGCGCGGCGGCCAGGGCCAUGGCCCUGCUCACGAGCCCGGAGACCGGCCUGUCACUGCCAAACGGC